AUCCGCGUGUCUCUCAGUCUUAUCCACAAUUCCACAUCGCCACUCCUCUUUCUCACCCACCGCUGGUCCUCCUCUUCUUCAGCCACACUAUCACCCAGUGCCGCUCCUCCUCCUCUUCUACACAUGUUGCGCCGACAAUGCACUCCACUCUCCUGGAGUGCGCGCGGCCGUGGUGGCUGGCCAGAGCCAGGGCAGCAACCCUUAUCGGCGAGGAACCCAGAGACGCCAUGGAAGCUCCUCGCCACGACCGCGCCGGCACGAAGUCGCUCUGUAUCCUGCCAGCAGCCCCGCCUCCGGCCCGAUUCGGACGGCCCCGCCCACAGCCUCCGCCACCUACGGCAUGCCCCCAGAGGCCACCAACCAGAGCCUGUCCACGAAGUCCAGCCGGCCUUCCUCCUGGGCGCGCUCCUCGGCCGUUGCCGCGUGCUCCGCCAGCAGCUGCCUGAUGAGCCCGUCGAACUGGCGGUGCACCCGGCGCAUCUUGGCCCAGCCACGACCGCGCCGGCACGAAGUCGCUGAUGUUGAACAGCCCCGUGCUGGUUAGGAGCGACAUGAUCAUCUCCUUGUAGCUGCUGGACUCGUCCUCGUCCCCGACCGCAGCGCCUGAGCCGAUGCCCCCUCUCUUCCUCUGCUCCGAAGUUGCUAGCUCGCGAGUGCCACAGCAACCACGACCAUCUUAGGGAGAUCGAUGGGUUGGGUUCUAUUUUCUUCGCUCCUUUCCCAUUUGGAAUUCCUUCUCAUUCUGUUUCUCUUUCCUUUGCUCCGUCUUGCCCAUUACGGAGGAAAUUCGUUCCUCUCACUUCUCCUCGGGAGAAAUUUGUUUCUUUUCCUUCUCCUCUGGAGGGAAUUUGUCCGGUUCCUUUGCUUGAGGAUGGGCGCGGCGGCGGGGGCGGUGCGCCGCGGAAGGGCAGGGCCGGCGGUGGUGGCGCGCGGCGGAUGGACGGGGGCCGGCGGUGGUGGCGCGCGGCGGAUGGAUGGGAGGCAAGGUCGUGGGUCGUUCAGUCGUUCUUUUUUUUCUAUUUUGCCCGUACCGGUUCAGGUAAACUUGAACAAUAGGAUUGCGGGUUGAUUUUAUAAAAAGCCAAGGGCUUUUCUGCAAAAACGCCGAUGACGGACGACCAGAAGCGAUCUCCACUUUAUUAGUAGUAUAUAAAACUGUGUCUAUCAUAGCUUUUAGUGACAGAAGCAGAGAGGUUGGCAAAAAUUCCUCAGAAGUAUAUGAGCUGCUAACUAACCGUGUAAUAGUUAGCUGGCCGGCCUAGCCGUGUCAACCAGCCAACUAACGUUCGAGUCAAUCCGAGAAAAACGCUUUGCCCCGUGUCGUCCUACCUAGGGCGACAUGGGCGCGUCUUCAACCUAGUGCCGCCAGCGCCCUCAUCUUCUCACUCCUGCCACACCGCCGCCGAGCGAAGCUCGCGUGGUCUAUGGUGACGGCGUGGCGCUCUCCCACAGCAGCACUGCAUCUCAUUGGGUGGAGGGACUCCGUGACCGGUCGGCGUGCCGAUCUGUAGGCAGUUGGUGGGGGCGCUCUGCGACGCCUAGUGGCGCGAGCGGCGGCUCCCGACGGCGUGGAGGCACAUGACUAUGACUGUGAUGGAGGAGCCGAGUAGGCGUGCUGAUGCGGAUCGGCCCUAUGGAGGCUGAUUUAGCCCAAAGGAUGCCGGGCCUCCCUCUUGGUGAACCCGAGUGGUGCUGCGUGGGGUUUCCUAUGUGCACGCCGGUCUCCGUUCAGAUCCGUGAUUUGGCGUCAAGGCCCAGCGUGCAUCGGGCUCUCUGCUGAAAGGUAGACCACGACGGCUCUAUUGGAUUUCCCAUGAGUUGUGAUCAUCCUACAGCUCCACAAUGACGGUGGUCGUUGAAAGAUCUCCAGGAGUGUUUAUGUCUCCAGAUCCAGUGAUUGACUUCAAUGGUGAGAUGUAAAUUAUGGACGACGACUUACGUAGUGGGAUAGUUAUGCAACAGUGGCAAUCACAUCACAUGUAGGCUGUAGUUGCUCGGGUCACGGAAAAGUGAUUUUGAUGGUGGUGCUACUCGAACAGCCCGUCUCGAGCUCCGGGGUGAAAUCUUAGGUCUGACCCGAGCUGGUUAUACCUGGCAAUGACGAUGUUUAUUUUAUGACGUUACCUUGCUGAAGGCAUUCCUUGGAUAUGCUCGAAUUGAUCAGGGUGAAAAUCCUAGAUUCUAGCCUUGGUGGUUGGAUCUGAUGACGGCGACGCUUGAGUUUCGUUUCCUUCUUGAAGGUGUUACUGUUGUGAAUCUUAUCAUCCAUGUGGUGUCAUGACAUGGUUGAUGCAGUCAUUGUUGUGGUAUGCUGAUCACAGAUCUCAUAGCUUUGAGGUUUUAUCUUAUUUUUUCUCAUCUACACAUAGCUUUAGUCUUAUAUGAUUUUUCUAACUGCCGGCAUGUUUUUUAUGUGUUUGCGUUUGUAGUUUGUUGUGUGCAUCCUAACUAUGCAGACACUGGUGUGUGUUUUUUUGUA